GUGGGGAAUUUUGGACAAUGGGCGCAAGCCUGAUCCAGCCAUGCCGCGUGAGUGAAGAAGGCCUUCGGGUUGUAAAGCUCUUUCAGACGGAAAGAAAUCUCCUGGGCGAAUACCCUGGGAGGAUGACGGUACCGUAAGAAGAAGCACCGGCUAACUACGUGCCAGCAGCCGCGGUAAUACGUAGGGUGCGAGCGUUAAUCGGAAUUACUGGGCGUAAAGCGUGCGCAGGCGGUGAUGUAAGACAGAUGUGAAAUCCCCGGGCUCAACCUGGGAACUGCGUUUGUGACUGCAUCACUCGAGUACGGCAGAGGGAGGUGGAAUUCCGCGUGUAGCAGUGAAAUGCGUAGAUAUGCGGAGGAACACCGAUGGCGAAGGCAGCCUCCUGGGCCAGUACUGACGCUCAUGCACGAAAGCGUGGGGAGCAAACAGGAUUAGAAACCCUAGUAGUCC
rnacentral:rRNA from 1 species